AUAUAUCGAUUUUUUCAAAAUCGGUUCGACAUUCAACCUGUUAAAUAUUUUAUCGUCGAUCGAUUUAACGAUACACGGUAAAUUCGGAAAAAGAUAUAUAAUUAUAUAUGUAUAUUUUUUUAAACUACAUUCUUUUACGAUCGUAGACAAUCAAAGUGAUUCCUAAGUGUUAUUCGGGCUCAACCGAAAAACGGUCGCGAUCUUGCAGCUCCACGUUUGCGUCAGUACAGUGUUUUAAGAAAGAUCUCUACGCAUUUCUGGAUACAACGAAGAUCAUCCUACUCGCACGCACGAUGUCACGUGCACGCGUUCAUGCUCGAUGAUUUGUUAUAUGAGAAACUUCAAUAAACGAGCAUAGACUGAACUACGAUCGCACGUAUUUAAAAAAUAUCGUCGACGUCGUUCGAUAAGAUCUUGCUUUUUUCGUAAUGAUAUUUUACCAGAUAGAGUCAAUUUUUCUAAAAAAAAAUACUAGCCUUUUUAAAACCAAAGUAUAAUUAUAUACGGUAGCUUGUAACAAUAACAAAAAAAGAAAAAGAAGAUACAGUAUGGUGUAUAAGAGAGAAGAUCUAAUUAUGGCUGUUUUUGAAUCGGCACGCGAACACUGCAUUAACUCUUUUGAUUUUUCUUUUUUUUCUUUCUUUUUAUUUUACGAUAAGCAUAAACGAGAGAAUAGAGACGAACGAGGUUAAAGGAUAAUAUCGUAAUUUGAUUAAUUUUCACAUUUUUAGUACAUUUUUUUCUCGAUAAUACGUUAUGUCGAUCCCGUAACUCGCUAUUGUCAAAAUAUGUCAAAAGAAAGAAAAAGUAAAAUAGAAAAAGAAAAAGAAACGAGCAAAAAAAUGAAAUAAUGAAAAAAUGAGAAUGAAUUAAUUGAGUAAAAGGAUCCUUUUAUGCGUACGUACCUGAAAGGACGACUACAUUUUUACGUUGUUGUCGUAACUGUGAAGAUAUUUCAAUAUAAUCUCACAUCCUUCGGAAAUUCUAGAGCCGAAUAUUUAGAUUUUAAAGUAAUCAUUUUCUUAACGCGAAACGUACGAACGUGUCAUAAUCAAACGGAAAAAGAAAUACUAACGAGGAAACGUAAAUUCGUUUAACGAUAUUUAAAAAUUAAUUGUUGCCUAUUCUAAAUUGUAAGAUCAUGCUGAAUAAGUGUUGUAGUCUAUUUAAAUGAAACAAAAAGUUACUAUGGUUGUCGCGCGAGCUACGAAAAAAAGGAUAACGAGAGAUAGAGAUAGAGAUAGAGAUAGAGCGAAAGAGAUAGGGAGAGGAAUAGGGAGAUGGUAAGAGAGAUUUGUAGAGAGGGUGAAACGAUAAAAAUCUAGUCAAUUAAUGGAGAUGCCUCUACAAAUGCGACGUGCAGAUGCGAUCAUUCUCGUUAAAGUGCGCGCCCGUAGAAAGCCCCUAAAAAUAAAAAUUACAAAAAAAAAAGAAAAUAACUAGGUAAAAAGAUGUCACAGAAAAAAAAACACGUCGAAUCAAGAGAAUCCGUAGUUACUUUCUUACGUAUUUUUUAACGCGAUUCCUCUCUUAUUAUCGAUGCUCAAUACGAUUAAUUCUCCUUAUUCUUUCUCUCUUCUACGUUCGAACGAUCGGUGAAAUGGUCUGCAUAGUUCGACGAAUAUAGAAAACGUCGAUUGAAUAUAGUUAUUUAUAUGUGUGUGAUAUGUAUAUAUCUUCGCACACAUAAAUACGUUCGCAUAUAUUCUAAUAGUUUCACAAGUGUUUAUGAAAAAUCUUUUAUUAAGUCCAGUAUUUGUUUAUAAUCAUUAUCAUUAGAUUAAAUCUUAUCUAUUGAGUUAAUUCCUUUCUGACUCUUUUUGAAUUUAGAUACGAUUCUACGUGGUAGACAAUCGAUGCACAUGGUUUGUCGAAAUAAAUUCGACUAUAAAAUUCAUAUUGUUACAUCGAUGUGUAGAACUUACGUUAAGAGAUUUUAAGCUUUGACCGAGUAGAGUUUUUCGAAAUCUACAUAAAAAUGUUAUUUAAAAUGUUAGCGUUUACUUAAAUGUUAAAAUCAUUGGUAAACGCAUUGUUUUUAAUGGAAUCUCACGAUCGAUCCUUCUGGUGCUGUUACCAAGAGAUAGCAGAAAUCUGAAAUUUUAGCAGACCUUCUCACGAUCUACAUAGUUGGACUGUCGUUAGUUUUCUUCUCGAUUUAUGGGGUCGUAAAUACGUUAUUGUUCUUCCUAAUAAAAAAUAUAAAAAAAUGAUCCUCGCAUCGAACAUCGCACAUCGCACAGGUAAAAACGAAACCGAUCGACUAAUAUUUCUCUCAGUACGAAUAUAUAACGUCCACUUAUCGCAUUAUGAUUGAAAGGUGAUUGAAAGUAAGUAAAUAAAAGAAAGAAAAUGGAUUGUCAGUCGAUAUCUUUGUAUCGAAGAAUGGUAGACCCCAUAAGUCGUAAGAAAGAUGACAUUUUCGAUUCUCUACAUGUUGCGAAUAAUGUUUGUCUAAUCGCGGCCGUGGCCUCAAGUUUUUGGCUAAUCAACUUGAUCAAGAUUUAGUGUCGCAAAGCACUUGUAAGAAAUUCCGUAUUUAAAUGGAAAUGACAAAUCUCAUCGAUCGCUUCGUUAAAAAGUCGAACGAAACGAAAAAACCCAUCGGCCCUCGUUAUUUCUGCCUCGUAAUUGUACUUUCGAUCGAUUGAAAAAAAAAAAGGAAGAACUCAAACUUUUAAUUAUCUUCCAAUAAAUUGUCGAUAUAUAUAUAUAUAUGUACACAUAAAUAAUAUGGCAAAAUAUAAAAAAAGUACAAUUGCGAGAAGGAAAAGAUACAACGCUCCUGCUUAAACUAGGCUAGAAAGCUAGAAAUAGGCUUUCGACGGGAGCGCUCAACUAUCGCCGCGCGAAAAACGUUCUUUCAUUUCGAAUUAUCUCACCAGUUUUUCGAAAAUGAAAUUUCGGCACUUAACAAUUUUAAGAAUAUUUCUUCUGCAUUAAAAAGAAAAGAAAAGGAAACGACAAACAUUAACCCUUUAAAAAAAAAGGAAACUUAAGACGCCAAUCGAUGUCUGAUAAUAUAAGAGGUCUUUUUCUUCUGAUCUUUUUUUCCUUUUGCACGGACGAAUUCUUCAAACGUUCUAUCCUAAUCGGUAGAAUGUCAUUUUUUCUAGAAUAACGCGUUCGAUUUUACGCGAACCCCUUCAAGACGAGCAAUCAAAAACGUUAAACCCGUUCGGGACAUAUCAUAAAAUUUUGAUAAAUUUAAAUUAAUAAUUAAAGGGUUAAGGUGCCUAGAACGACUAGAGUACACACACGAGUCGUAGAUAAAUAUGCGAAAUAAGCAACGUUUUCUCGUUAUUAAAGGUAUUUGCAAUGAGUGCAUUUAAAAAUGCAUUUGUGCGAUAACCAAAAAGAAACGGGUAAAUGAGUUUAUGGCAUCACUGUGUAUUACCGAUAUAAAUAUAGAGAAGAAUCAAACAAAAUUCUUUAUUUUAUCGUAGCAAAAAAAUCGUUUAGAUGACAUUAUUCGGCUAAAAUUUGACGCCGAAUCGACAUGAUCUAAUAAAUAAGUAUUUUUUAGAAAUGACAUACAUUGAUAAAAUUAGAAGACACGUGAUAAAAGUGAUAUAAGCGCUGUAAAGCUAAAAAACGCUCGACGCAUAACACUUUCUCGCUGCUUAUCGACAUGGUUGAACGUCGACGUUUAGUCGGAUUUGAUUGAGAAAAUAAAAUACUUUAUACCCGAUGCCUGUGCACGUGAAACAAGUAGGAUCGCGUAAGAUUGCAUUCUUUUUCAUUUGGAUUCGUUAUUAUAAGCUUUAAUCUUGUACUUUAACAAUGUCUCGAGUGCAUAUUGAUUCGAGGUAGUCACGUUAUUAGAAAGAAAAUUCUUCGAAUAAAUUUUCCAACAUAAAUGGGCAUAAAAGAAUAUCGUUCUAACGAUAUGUAUCUAUACAAUUGGAUCGCUGUGUGUAAACCUUCGCUUUGAAAAAAGAUAACGAGCCUGAAUCGCCUUCUUUGUCACUUUUACGAUAACUUUCAAAUAAUUGUUAUUUCCACGUUUUUAUCCAAAAAUCUCGAUGUUCUAGCUCUUACCGAUUAUACUAAUCGUGACUCUCGUACCAUUUUGCACUCGUAAAGUCGCCAAAAAUUGAGCAGUAUUAUUAUCCUCAGCGAUAACGAGAUUCUAAAGAGAUCGCGAAGUCGUGCAAGAGAAAAAUGAGAGAAAAGAGAGAGAGGGAGAGAGAGAGAGAGAGCAAAAAUUCAUGCAUGGCUACGCAAGAAAGAAAGAAGUGAGAGAGAGAGAGAGAGAGAGAGAGAGAGAGAGAGAGAGAGAGAGAGAGAGAGAGGAAAGAGAGGAGUAAAAGAAGAGUUUGCAGGAGAACGGAGGGCCGUAGGGUUGCAACCAUUCACCGGGAGUACGAUGCAAAUGAUUAACUCGAUGAAUGAAGGGUGGAGGGGGAAAAUAAGGAAGGAGCUGGUCCCUGGCAGUUUCCCGGGCGGCCUCCAUUAUUAACGAUUAAUUACAUUUUUGUACCUAGCUGCUAGUUUUGUACUAGUUUUCUAACGUACCUCACAAUGGACGUGCUGUUAUUACAUGUUUUAAACGGUUGUUAAAGAGAACAAAAAAGAAAAAAAAAAGCAGAGCAUACGUUGAUCGAUCACUCGUACGUAUUCGUAAUAACGUGUUGUAAUGUUCGACUCGGUGUGGUUAUCGAGUAGGUAUCAUUUAUUUCGCCUUUGCGACGAAGAAAAAGAAAAAAUAUAAAAUAGAAAACACUUUUGUCAAAGGUGUUCGGUACUUAAAGAUCGAGAAGGGAAAAAGCAAAAAAAGAAAAAAAAAUAACAAAAAGAAAAAAACAAGAAUCAGUGCUUUUGCGCGUUGACAGACAAAUACCCAUUUCGAUUAAUAAUCGAACAUUUAGCGAAGCAACGAACUUAUUCGCCGCUGCUUUGUAAGAUUCUUUCUUAUUAAUCGCCAAGAAGCAUUUAAAGUGACAUCAUCACACUGACUAAGCGAUUAAUUAUGCUUUGAAAUGCAACGCGAUUGAUCGGGAAUGUUUUGCAGUUGUGAUAGGAUUGAAUACACAGAUGCAAACGAAAUCGACACACCAGUCGGAAGCUUUCGUCGAUCGUGCGAAGGAUAACGAAAGAGAUAUUCGAUACUCGAUCCUAUGGUAUCAUGUGAUCGGUCGACUUUUUUUGGCAGACCUACUUAAAGCUUUCGUCUGCGUCUGAAUCAUCAAAUAUAUUGUCUUUUACACGGAUAUAUGUGUAUGUGUGAUCAUAAUGAAAGAUUUCUUAGGGUGGAAGCAUCUUAAGAUAUAAAAACGUAGAUAUUGGAAGGAUGGAAUGGAAAAACAAGGAACGACAACGGCUCGAUGAUUGGUAUGCCUCCACCCUAAAAUUCUUGAUGAACAUUAAAGAUUAUGGAAAUGUAUUUAUCACGAUGGACUUAGAAGCAAUCCCGGUCGUCCGAAAUUAACGAUGUGUACACAAAGAUGCUGUGUUCUGGCGUGAAUGACGCGAGAUGAUAAUGGUACAAUAUUAAUGAUUAUUGUCCUAGAAUCUAGAAUAUAGUGAAAAGAAGAUUCCAAAUAAUAAACAGCGAGAGCAUAGAUGCAACAAAAAUGUGAUUCUUUUGUGUCAUGCAACUAGACGUUUCGUUCAUUAUUCUUUUUAAUCCCACCUCCCGAAUUUUCAUAAACCUCGAACGAUAUAUUCGGUUAUCGAUCUUCCAUAUCGUCAGCAGAGAUUUAUUAUUACCAAAGUAUUACUCCAUAUUUCUCCUCGUUUCUCGAUCGUUACUACGCGGAAAGUUUGUUAAGUCUGAUUAAAAAUUGCUUCGACAGGAUUGUAAAAGAUUCGUCAGUUUAUUCUAAAAUAACUGACUGACCUCUUAUACUCCAAAGUGCAAAACACGAAUUAUCGUCAAUAGUAUCGUACCACGAAUGCUACAAAAUUAAUCGAUAGCCGAAUUGAAUGUUUAUGUACGAAUCGAACGUUCUUUUUUUCAGACGUUAUUCAAAGAAUGUAGGUCAAGCAAUGAAGCAGUUCUUGUACCGCAUCCUCCGUAUAAAUACGCUUCAACCUCCAGCUUUACACGGAUACACCGUAAGCAUAGACGUACUCUCGAGUGUGUCCGUCCUGACACGGAGUGGUACUACUUGCUGGUUCGACACACCAACCAACCAUUAGUCAAUACUUCACAUUUGUACUGAAAGAAAGGAACCCAGAAGAGGAAUGGGAGAACAAAAGCUGAACACAUUAUGUUAAAAUUUCAUGCAUCGUUCUAGCAAGUUCUUCUAUUUUAGGACAAUGAAAAAUUUUAUUGACAUCACCAAAACUACGAAAGAAGCCAGAAUAAGCAAAAAUUAAAAAUUUAGAUAAGAAACCAAAGAAAUUAAUAAAUGAAUUAUAUUUCUUUUUAGCUCCAUAUUAAAAUAGUUAUCAGAUAACUGGUUGAUGACUGGAGUUCAUUAAAACAAAUUCAUUUUACGUAGAACUAUUCUACGAUGUAUAGUAAUUGAGUAACGAAAUAGAAUUCUCAUUAGUUUUGUAGAAAUUAAGUAUCUAUUUCGUAAACGUUAAAGUAAACGUAACUUUUUCAACAAAAUAUCCAAACGAGUUAUAUUUACAAACUUUCACAGGAAGUGGUUCUCUUCUUUGAACGUUUCUAAGUAAUAAUCUAUUCGUACCAGGAACAAAAUGCAAAAUUUUAAUACGAUCGCAUGCAGCAAAGAGUAUAAUAAAGUUGAGAUGAGGAAGCAAUUUACGUAAAAGGAAUAUGAAUUCAUAAGUAUAUUUACGGCGCUAUGAAUGUGCACACAUCGUCAUUCAAAAUUACACCUGUGUAUAUACGUCAUAUCGUUCUUAUGUUACCCAGAAAAAAAUAUUGUAGAAUAUUACGUACUGCAAGUCAUAUAUAACAUGUGACGUGAAUGUAUUAUUCGAUUUUAGUAAAAGAUUACUUUUUAAUCUGA